ACCAGUACCGUCAGUGCGAUGUCAUAUAUAUUAAUGCAUUUUCUCAUUUUCGGAUCUUUCUGGCGCAGCGAAGGUAAUCGAAACUUGCUAGGUUGUCUUUUGUUUUCUUUAUUAUGCAAUUUCGUCCUUCUUUACCGAUAAGCUAUUAACCAGACCCGAACAGAUGCUGUCAAAAUCCACGACGUCAAGGUAUUCUGGUGCAGAAACCGGAGGACGGCGUCGCCACCAAUGUUUUGUUUUUCAUAUUUCUUGCUGGGCCAAGCCGCCUUUUACGGCAACACCGGCCGCUUUGCUAUUGCAGAAGCGUCAUUUACUGAUACAUCUCAACUUACAAUUAUUUGAUGUCUCCUUACGAUAACGCACUAGUGCCGGGUUGUGAUCGUCGUGCCAAGAGCGCGAGGAAUAAAUGUCUCCCAGCGCUGACAUCCGUUUCGUUACACGCGUUGAACAGGAAGUUGUCCCAAGGCUAGCCAUAAAACGUUUCCGCGUUGAACUAGGCCCAGCGAAGUCUAAACAUAAAAAAAAAGGCUAUCAAAGACGAAGAAAGACGGAGCGGCGGGAGGUGUGAGGUUUAUAAAAAGAAAGCAACGAAAAUUACCGGUUAGCGGUUAGCAAAAUUUGUUCAUCGGUUAGCGACCUUGUUCAUCUAUCGCACGCUUGAGAACAGCACAAUAACAGUGCGCAAGCGCCCCGUCACGUGGUAUUUUUUCAUAUUUCGCAGGCUUUCUUUGGAACGCGGAAAAAAGGACCACGUGAGAUAUAUCGUGUUGGAAACAAUUUAUUGAGAAGUUUCUCAAGGUGCUCUACAACUUUGCGUAUCACACUUGGGGUCUGCAGCCAAUACUUAAAAAGUUGAUUACCUAAACAUAACUAAUCCGUUAGUUAAGGGCAAAAAAUAAAAUGAAGUUGCCUGAGUAACUUUAGGCCAGUGUCAACAUUCGGUUCAACUCGCGUCUGGAGUGCCUUUCCUUUUUAAAACGUUGGCUCAAGUUAUGUGGGACAACCGCUAUAUAAUAAAUUAAACCUAAAUCGACGAAUACUGCCACCCUUGAAGCGCCAUGUACUGCACAUGGGCAAGGCUAAAUGUGCCGUGUCGUAUUGCGGUAGUAGCUGAUAAUACACAUGACGAGUGUGUUAUCAUCUCACUUGCUUGGCGCGGAACCAUCAGGAAUUUGUAAGAAGUCCCAUUUGAAAGUGAGAGAUCAUACUGCUUAGUGGUAUCGGCCAUACAUUUACAAUUCAAAGGACUAUCCAGAUGCACAUGACGACAUUCACAUCCUACCAGUCUUUGCAGGCUGGAAGAGCAUUUUCUGCACUUCAUAGAGCCAAGCGCCAUUCAUUAUCUACGCGUCUACAAAAACCAGGUGUGCUUAAUGUUCAGACAUUUCCCAACAGACGCUUGGUACCCAAGGUGGCAGUAAUUGCAGAGGACUGCAGGUGUCUCAGCAUGGACGACGCGUCCGCUCUGGCAGUCGUGUAGUAUCGUGGAACUUCGUCUGCGGACUCUUGCAAGACGAGCCGUCGCGUUCCGAACCCGAGCAUCCAGGGCUUCAACCGACCCGGGCCUCCUGUCAACCCGUUCCCAGGCAUCGCUACUCUUCCCGAGCAUGGACUGCUACCCGAGGCUGGCGAACUUCUGCGCCCGAAGGCGGAGUGCAAGCAGUCGGGCUACGGGCCCGAGCUUGCGUCCAGCUGCCCGACCAGAAAGCCGCCUCCAUCUGCCCGUGCUGCCAAGCCGCCUGCGUUCCAUCUCCAAGACGGAGCUGCCACGCUCUGUUCUCUGGCUCAUUGCUCAACUACAUCGACACUGUGGUGAGACCAACGCCAUUUCUUUCGCCGCCUCGUCUCCGCGCCUGCGCGUCGAACUGUUGCGUGCGCUCACACUCAUAGUCAGCCCCUAACUCAAGUGCCGUUGGUACUUUCAUAGCUCUUAGUGUAUGUUAGUUCUUGUUGAGAAUGUUUCAUUGAGUGUUCAUUUUAUGUGUUUCUCUCCAUACUAGUUGCAUUAAAAGUUUUGUGUGCGUUUUGC
rnacentral:lncRNA from 1 species